GGAGGCUAGCGCCGGAAGACUUAACCCUGGAGCCACACUGGUGGGACGCACAGGCGGGUGCUGGUGUGCGCGUAGGCUCCUGCGUGCCUAGCAGUCUCCACCUGCCCAGUGACCAUGAUAGGUUAGAUUUCAAAAGAGUGAGAACAGUCUCAGCACCUGAUGCCUAGAAAUCGUAAAGCAUUUGCCGUCUCUCCUUUCAUGACCGCUGCCCUUUCGUCUACAUCCUGCUGACGUCCCGCUUGAACACAUCAAUCCCAGUCUUGACUUCAAUAGUCAUGAAAACUGAGGAGGGCUCUUGAGCACAAGGCUAAGAAAGAAUUCUUGACACGUCUGUGGUGCACAAAGAAUGCCCUUCAUGCUGCCAGGUCUUGGUCCCGCUGCUUCCGACGGAAACGUCAUCUCUACUUUCCCUGCAGACUCAUCAUGACACCGUGGCUUGAACUAAGAAGCAAACCUAUAAAUGUAGUGUGUCUGGCACUCCUGUCAGACCUUAAGUACAUUAUGGGCAAACAUCGUGCCUUCCCAGUGCCUCAAACUCCUGUGCAUCGCCCAGUAAGCUGGCCUAAUCUUCCACGACUAGAACUGAAUAAUAGAACUGUUCCCCACUUUUCUAGGAAAAAAUAAAUUCACGGAGAGAAUAAAUGGGAUGUUUUAGCUUGUAAUUGUUCUUAAACCAACCUUUAUAUGUCAGUGAGAACUGGCCAGGAAUAAACAAGCAAACAAAUACAAAGAAAUAUGGCAGGAAGUCUAGAAGGAGCGGCUGUAGUUCGCUGGAUUGCUUCCCGCUUUUCUGGAUCUGCACCUUGUAACUUUUGUGAUAAUGUCACCAUUUGUGCUCAGCACAAUUAUUAAUACCUGUCGUGACAUCAGAUGUGACACUGGCUGCAAACACCAUUGUGUGUUCUGCUGCUUAUACGGGUACGAGUACGUCUGAAUAUCAUAAGGAUGAUUCUCUUCUGUUGUCCUAUCAGUAGUGAGUUAGCGGAAAGUGUGAAUUGCAUAUUGGUAAGUGAGACUGGCAUCAAUUAUUUCUAGAAUAUGUAAUCAGCAGUGUAACAUAAGUAUUAAGAAAUCUUCAAGCUGAAAU